ACCUCCAGGAUCUCCUUUUCAUGAGAUGUUGGCACUUGAUUGUGAGAUGUGCAUAACAAAUGAAGGUUUUGAGCUGAAAAGAAUUACUCUAGUGGACAUCAAAGGACAGGUUUUGAUAGAUAAAUUGGUUAAACCAUCAAAUGCUAUCAUUGACUACAACACAAG